rnacentral:rRNA from 1 species
UACGUAGGGUGCAAGCGUUUAAUCGGAAUUACUGGGCGUAAAGCGUGCGCAGGCGGUUUGGCAAGUCGGAUGUGAAAACCCGGAGCUCAACUCCGGACCUGCAUCCGAAACUGCCCGACUAGAGGUAGGUAGGGGAGAUCGGAAUUCCUGGUGUAGCGGUGAAAUGCGCAGAUAUCAGGAGGAACACCGGUGGCGAAGGCGGAUCUCUGGGCCUUACCUGACGCUCAGGUGCGAAAGCUAGGGGAGCGAACAGG